CUGCAGCCCGAGUGGUGAUCGAUUUUAUUGAGCCUAAAGCGUCCGUAGCCGGACUAGUAAACCCUUGGGUAAAUUAGGCAGCUUAACUGUCCAAAUUCCGAGGGGACUGCUAGUCUUGGGACCGGGAGAGGUCAGAGGUACUCAAGGGGUAGGGGCUAAAUCCUGUAAUCCUUUGGGGACCACCAGUGGCGAAGGCGUCUGACUAGAACGGAUCCGACGGUAAGGGACGAAACCCUGGGGCGCGAACCGGAUUAGAUACCCGCGUAGUCC
rnacentral:rRNA from 1 species